rnacentral:tRNA from 1 species
GGGGCUGUAGCUCAGUGGUAGAGUGCUCACCCAGCAAGUGUGAGGUACCAGGUUCUAUCCUCAGCACCA